rnacentral:lncRNA from 1 species
GUUUUGUAUUUCGACCAGUGAUCCUGAACUUUGAGCUAGAUAAACUAACUGAAUCAGAGUUUGGAUUAUCUCUCCUGGAAAGGGAACAAGUAUGUUCUAUUUGUGGAAAGAAAUUUGCAUCUAAAUAGUUGGGUAGCUGAGCAAAUAUUGUACCAGAGACUGCUAUCUGUCUACCAAAUUCCAUUCUGUCCUUCCUUUAUGGCAAAUACAGAUUAAGUGCGAUGUGAACAACAUUGCUGGAUACAGUUUCUGCUUCACUUGUUUGAAGAUAAGCAAAAAACAAAGCCUGAGGUUGGAAUGCUCAAUAGUAUGGAAGAAAAGGAGUAGCAGGGUGCCUGGAGGUGGGCAGAAGUGGGCACAGGCCAAGCCAGUCUUGGUGCAGACCCUGAAUUUUGUUUUGCAAGAAACAUCUGAGCCAAGUAAUGCAUAAUCUAUCAAGCAGAAAGGAACAUUCUAUGCAGAAAAGAUUUGGAAAACAUGAGACAUGAAAGGGAGGAAAGAUGAGACAUGAAAAGAAAAGAGGAAAACUUAAGAGUCAUGGCCAGGUCUCCUGUGAGGUUUGUUUCCUGGAGGAGUCCAGAAAGAAGCUGUUCUCUGCUGAACCAUGGGUCAAGGAAAAUGUUGACAGAACUAUCAACUCUCAAUUUCCUAAACUUGGCAGGGUUCAAACUUCCAAGACAAAGCUGAUAGUGUCAAGGUAAACAUGAAGGUUUUUAAUAUGGAUACCAAUCUCUAGGAAGGGCAUUAGGAAAUCCCUCAGUUAUCACGGUGAAACCACCAUCACCACUCAGCUAAGGUGCAAGUAGCAAUCAAGUCAUUCCUGAUUAUCUCAACCAGCAAUCAAGACUUUCCCCUGGGAUUGGUCUGACCUCGGAAGACAAUGAGGCAAGUCCCAACAAGGAGGAGCCAUCUGCUCGGACGGCAGGGUAGAGAAUAUGACAUAGACUGGUGCACAAAAGCCAUUUAAGCAGAACACUAGGGAGAGACCUUGAGGUGACUUCCACAGCCCAGUUGCUGUUUCUUUUUUGAGAAAGUGAGCAAUGGCCCGAAGCUAGAAAUGCAAAAUGCAUCCCUCAAUAUAAGUAUUCAUCACACACCUAAAUCUUACAUUUUAUAGUUGUCAGACAUUUUAGCUUUCACAAAGUCUGAGUUUAGAUUUUGAAAGGUUUUUCACAACUUUGAAGUGCAUUUAGUAAAUGUAUAGUCUAAUUUUAUCCAAACUAUUAGCUCCAUACCUACAGAUGGCUUUGAAUGUACCAAAAGAAUUUAUUUUGCUAGAUAUGAGAAGUGGCUGGUUCCUCUGACAUGGCAACCCUGUAGUUGUCACCUCUUGGGGAGUUUCACAGUGAAGUUAGUUGUUAUUAAAAGGAACAUCAGAAUUCAGCUGGAGUCUUGGAAGAAAAUCAAGUUUUGUCUGUUUGUACAAAGAUAAAAGUCAGUGUCAGAUUUCUGAGCUCUUUAGAUUAGAAAGAUGUUUGGACUUGAAAAAUAAAGACCCAAGAGAAGGAGGUGUUCAUAUUAGAGCUGCUAUGCUGUCAUGAGAGGAUCUCUUAGAUCUCUUAUAGCAGGGUCAUUGGGGAGGAAAGAAGAUUAUCAAUGUGACUGUCAUACUGAAGGCAAUUUUUAUCAAGGUCCAAAAGUAAAUUUUCAAUAAAUAAUCUGAUUCUUGCUAAAUGACUCACACGGAGGUGGCUUUGAUUCUCACUCAAGUAAACAAAAAUUCGAGACAGCAUAGGCAAUGCUUGUUGAAUUUACUUGGAUGAAACUGUUUAUUUGAAAUAAAGCACAAAGCUAUUUUCUUUUUGCUGCAUUGUGGGUGCAAUAUCCAUAUCAUGACAUUAAGUAGGAGAGGAAUGGAACUAUGGUAUUGCUGUGGGUCUCUCAGAGUGCGAGAGAGAUACUACAGACAAAAGAAAGUUCUAAACGUUAAAGAAGUAAGUUUUAAUUUUGCUGCUUGAAAUUGUAGUAAUCACUGAUAGGUACUUAAUUUAAAAUUAUUUUUCAGUUGAACAAAAAGGGACUAUGCACAAUAUAUAGCUUAAGAGUAAUAAGUUAGGGGGCCGGGGAUUUAGCUCAGUGGUUCCGGCGCCUGCCUUGCAAGUGCAAGGUCCCGAGUUCAAUCUCCGGUACCCAAAACAAAGAAUAAUAAAUUAGGAAAGUAAGGUAAAAACUUAGAGUUGCCUCUCUCACAGAUAAUAUUUUUAGCUUGAAGACAAUCUGACCAAUGUGAGGUUCUGGGAAGUUAAAAAGAGCUUCCGAAAUGAAAUGUUGCUGAGACAUAUAUUUUAACUUAUAGUUUGCGAGAUUUGUUUUUUCCCCUGAUGAUAAGUGAGGAGAGAGCAACUGGAGAAAAGCAAAGAUAUGUUUCAGUUGAGACUAUGCCAGAACAGUGACUCACAGCGUCCUAAUCAGGCAGGCAUGACAGCUCAUUGAAUAAGGCCCACCCCACCCACCCUGGAAAUUGUUCUUUGCCCAAGCUCAGCACCCUGAAAACGACUUUCUAGACAUGUCACCAUGCUUGCUGUGGAUUGUCAAGGAAACUAUGAAAAUGCUGACCAAGGCAGGGGUUAAGUUAUUAUAUGACCAAGGCUGCCUUUUCAGAUAGGCUCAGCUCUGAGUGUCUGUGUAUUUGCGCACAUGUGCAUGUUUAAUUAAAGAAGCGUUUUUAUGUAUGUCUUUUUGAUUUGCUGUACAUUUUCCUAGCAAUUAAUAUUUAUGCAUAUUUAUAUGACCCACCCAUCUUUUGAUAAAAAUUGCCAUAAUCAUUUCUGUUUAUGUUUUUUUCACAUAUGACUUGUAGGAUUAUAUGGGUUAAAUAAAUUUAUGGCUUAAAGGAACUUUUAAACUCCUCAUCUUGUAGAUGGAAAAUAGAGGCCUUAUCCACCAGGGGUGGCCUUUGGUCAGCCUCAUAUAACAGCCAGGACCAAAAUCCAGUCUCUCUACUUAUGUUAUGAGUUUAAAGAAUUAUUUCAACAGUUAUACAAGAUUGAAUAUGCUUUACAAAUUGUUGUUAAUGAAAACUGCAGAAACACUAAGUAUUUUGGUUUAAAUUCAUGGUUUCACAGCAUGACCAUGCCUUGAAUCAUUUCGGAAAUUAAAAAAAAAAAGAAAAUUUGAAAAAAGAGUUAAAAAAAGAACCAAUACAGAUCUAGUGACUCAGAAUCUGAUAAGGGUGUACCAAAGCAUUAGAAUAUUUAGAAAAUUCUCCUGUUUUUAAUGGAUUUCUAAUGUAGUGUGUAUAGAUCAGUGUUGAGAAAGCAGGCAUAUGUCUAUUUUUCAAGAUGAUUGGAUAGAAAGUAGGCUGAACUAUCCAGCUAAAGUAGCUAAACUAGCUACCUACUGAAGAAAUAAAAUCAUAAGAGUUUAGCUUAGGGAAACUCAACUAGUUUUAAUAUCAAGCUAUUUCUUUCAUGCUCUCUCGUCACUAUUUCAUUAUGGCAGUUGUAAGAGAAACUCAGAACCUCCACUAUUAUUAAAAGGCAAACCUAUUGGCUUUUGCUAUGAACAAAAGGACUGCUAGAAUAUUUUAAAACAGGAACUUAGUGUUUUGAUUGAAUCCUAAAUAAAUACCCAAUAGAUAUUAAUGAAAUCUACUCUGUUAUUUCUUUUCUUUCCUUUUCUUUUUUUUUAAGUAAUUGCAGGAUCUCUGUAUUGGUUGGUGUGAAGAAUAACACAAUAGGGGAGAUAACAGCUUCCUGGGCCCUAUUAUUGAUCAAAUGGCAAAUCUGGCCUCAUGAAAAUCAGGCAAAAUCACAGGCCGUACUUUAUGUGCACAGGUUACAUUUCACAUAAGAUUUUAUUAAUCCUAGUAGUCAAAUCUUUUCUAUGAUCUUCCUAAUUUGUGCCCCUGCUCAUGACUUCAAUGGCCUAUCUAAUCAAGAGACCAAGGAAGAUGUUUCUGACUGUGUCAUUUUUGAUAUCCCAAUUAGGUCCGGAUGCAACAGCUUGGACCUUAGGGACAUCAUUUGUCAUAGGGGACCGCUAGUGUGUUCUCUCCUUAAUGCUCUUUCAGUAUCCUGGGGCAGCAUGUUCCUUCCCCUGGAGAUCCAUUCUCCUUUCCUUUUGUCUUCACAUUUGUAAUAUUUCUCUCAUCAGGCCACAGGAGUGGACACAUGACUCAAGACCAGCAGCACAAAGUCUUCUUAGGAUUAUUUCAAAUGGCAACUAGAAAAAACCAAAACAAAACACUUCCCUUCUCUGUUGAAGGCACAAGACAAUUCAUCAUAGGAGUGAAUUUCAGGCAAAGGAAGGGGGCCCUAAAAGGGCAUAAAAGCUUCCCUGCAAUCUUGGAGUCCUUUUCUAUCGUCCUGUGAUCCCCCUUUCCUACCAUCCUCUGCUUCAGUUCUUUGCUUCUGUGAAGCAAUAGGCUUUUCUUUCCAGUCUCAGUAGUAUGGAUGGGCUUCUGUAACUUGUAACUGAAAUGGCUUUAAUUCAAGAAAACUUCAAAAUGCCCUAGAUUUCACAUGCCAUUUAGGGGAAAUCCAUACUGUUUGCCUUUUUCCCACAAUGGACUUGAAGAGAUGGGAUGGCCGAAGCAACUUUACUGCCAGCUGUUCUCUCAGAAAUUUUUGUUGCUGGAUAUUCUCUGGAAAAAUUGAAAGAGAUAACAAUUGACAACAACAACAAUGAAAGCCUCUUAGAAAAUGUCAGAUUAAGCCCAGAGGAACAGUAAAGACAGCAGAUCUCAAUAGUUGUUGACAUUUGUAUAAUACAAAUACAAAAUUACAACAUUUUGUAUUUAUGGUUUUGUGCAAAUACUUGAAAUGCACACAUCAGUUCUUCAAUAGAAGAAGCAUAAUGUUGUGUUUUCAGUUCAAAAUACCAGUAAAUUUGGAAAAAUCUUCCUGAGUAAGCUAAAUUUAUUUUUAUGUGUUUUAAAGUGCUGAUAGGACCUUAUUUAUAUUUUUCUUCAAUUUACAAAGAUUUUUGUCUUUCGACUAAUUGUAUUAUUUUAUCAAGAACUUUAACUGAUUUGAAAUGAUCAAUUCUUUUUCCCAUUAAGUUUAUUGGUACAUUUUAGGUAUAAAAUACAGUUACAUUCACCAUUGGGAUCUUGUAUCAUUACAUGAGUAUCUUGGUUCUUUUUUUUCCCCCUUCCUCUGCCCUCCCUUCACCCCCUCCACCCUUCUCUAUUUGCAAAGAUUUUGUUUCCAUUUUUUUCCUUUUCUCAUAUUUUUUCUUUUUCCUUCUUUCCUUUCCCCUACCCCUCCCACUUCCCCUGCUCCUUUAGAACUUUACUUCCUAUUACACAAUAUCAAUUAUACAUUUUAAAAAUUAAAAUAUCAAGACCUAGGAGACAUUACCAGAUUUUUCAGAAUUUAAAAGGAUAUAGAAAGCAUAUUGCAAAAAUCUGUUUUGCAAUAAAUUUGACAACUUCUAAGAAGUACCUUAGAAGACAAAUUAAUGAAACUAACUCUGGAGGAAAUAUAAAAUUUGAAAAGCACCUAUUAAAGAAAGUAUAUUCCUAGCUUGAAAACCUACCUAUAUGACAACAACAGGCUCACAUACAUUUUAACUGAUAAAUUAUAUCAAACAUUUAAAGCAGGAAAGCAAAAAGGAACACUUCUCCCCUCAUUUUAGGAAAUUAACAUUGUGCUAAUCCUAAAACUGGGUAAAGAUAAUAGAAGAAAAAAGCAUGAACAUAGAUAAAAAUUUGUUUAACAAAACAAACUAUUAGAAGUCAGAUCUGGCAGUAUGUAGAAAGUGGUUUUAUUAUAGGGAUAGCAGUGUUGGUUCAGCAUUGGAAGAUCCACCCCUAAAGUCAUCUGAAAUGAUCAAUGUUAUUGCCAGAAUUUAUCGCUUUGAUCCUGUGUUAUCUAUAAUAUUAGUUUGGGUUUAUACUUGACCUAAGCAUAUUAAAUAUUUUCUAACUUUCAAGCAACAAUACUAUCCAAGUAUUUCUUUUAUGUUCUGAACAAUUAUAAUUAUGUUUCAUAUAUUUGCAUUAUUUAGCACUUGAUAAAGUUUCACUUUUGACAUUCAUAGUAGUGUUUAGGUAUAUCAUGUUUUUAUUCAUAUUAGCCCAGUUGACAAAGCCUUUUGUAGUUUCGGUCUCCAUACUCAAAUGUUUGAGUCAUAAUCAAAGAACCAUCACAGUUUUAGAAUUUGCUGAAUGUGGUAUUUCUUGCAUCAGAUGAAGACAUGAAUAACACGUUGUAUGGCCACAGGUGAUGCUGACUAUAGGCCAAUUUGUAUUUGUGACCUGCAUGAGAGAAUCGAUAGGCAUGUAUUUGCAUUUCUAAUCACUAAGUACUUAUUGAGAACACACUGGAUGCUAUGCUCAGCAUUUGAUAUAUAAAUUGUGGACGAGUCGACAUGAGUGUAGGGCAUGAAUUAACCAACACAGCAUCAUUAUAAAACACAGGGCCUAAAUUGUACUUCUCCUUCACUUUCAUUAGAAAUUCAAAAAAAGGAAAAAGUAGGCUAGAUUUGUUUAUCUGGAAAAUACAAGUACUGUGUAGUAUCAAAAUGAUAUAGGCAGAAAAAAAGCAAAGAGAUUUCAGCCAUCUGAAGUAGACUCCUCCUAUGUAAUACCUUGAUCAAAUGCUUAAUUUGCCUACAUCUGACCUGACCAAUGGAGUCAAAGAACUCAGUACCUUGUGAGGAGGUCCUUUGUCCCAUCUUAGUUUAAUCAUAAUGUUCUUCAUGUUUAAUUGAGAUUAAUCAGAACAGAAACUUCUGGCCCCUUCUGGCAAUUGGGCCUCUACUGUCUGGAGAGCCUAGGGUGUUCAUUCAAUCUGACACCUGUCAAGAAGAGCCCAGCACCCCUCUUCUCAUCCCAUGUCCUCCACAAAAGGAAUGUUCGUGUCUGUGAGGUUUCCUGGAGUUUGUAAAAACCUGUACAUUGCCCAGGAAAAAGAUGCUCCAACUCUCUUAUCUUUAUUUGGAACAGUCCAUGCUAGAGUUUUUUUGUUUUUUGUUUUUUUAAUGCGAUGGAAGAAAAGAGGAAACAAUGGAUAGAGAUUUUUAACUUGAUACUUUCCCAGGUUCCAGGCCUUCUGGCGGAAGCAGGCCUUGAAGCCUGCGUAUGCGUCACUGGAUUUAAUCCUUCUAGCAACACCGUGAAAUCUGUAUCCUUCUCUGUAUUCCUUAUGAGAAAUUUGAAGCUUGGAGAAAAUAAAUAAAGCUGAACAUUUUCUCUUCACCCAUUGUGGCUUUCUGUUUCCUUCUUUUAAAGAAAGUUCUUUAUGAAGCUAUGCAUUUAGCGUGAUCUUAUACAUUUUUAUCCAAUCUAGUACAUUUUUGGCAGUGAUAGGAGUCAAUGUUUUAAGUAUGUCCUCACAAAACAGACUGUCUGAAUAAAGCUGAACCUCUGGUCACCAUAAUUUAAGGUCAUUCAUAAGCCCCCAGGAAGUCCUGGCUAUAAGCAUUGUAGUUUAAAGACUUGGCUGUAGUCACUGAAGCUUUGGUUUCUCACUUGCAUGGCCUCUGUCUCUAUGUAGAGUAGAUGAAAAGAUCAUUUUACAUCAGCUUCCACUCUGGAUGUUUUCUUAUUUGUAGAAGGGGUGCAUGUGAACCUACGUUCACUUGGGUACUUAGCAAAAUUCCCAACAAAAAUGACUUCUUUAGCUCUCCCAGGACAGUGGUUGAGAAGACAUUCAGUUCCAGAUGGCAGUGUUCCUGCUACUCAGAGGGCAGGCUCCCUUUAUCUGUCAACUGAUUCAGUUUCUCAAGGGCUGAACAGGUUGGGACUGCUCUCCAACCUUUGCCCAUUCCUCUGGAAUUGCUAUGCCUACAGAUCUCGGUAAAACAUAAAAUUAGUGUUUGUAGAAUCCCUCUUGAGAUCCUUGAUGAGAGAUGGGUUGAUACUAUAAAGUAGUAUUAUCAUAAAUAGACCCUGGGAUUAUGUUCUGGGGAUUAUAAACUAUAGUCUCAACAUUUAACACCAUAUGAGAUGAAUGUCAAGCAUCCACUUGCCAGUAUCUUUUAUUUUCACUAUAUUGUAUUAAUGAAUGUUUUAUCAAUCCAUAGUAAAAAAUACUUUGCGU